rnacentral:rRNA from 1 species
GAUGAACGCUGGCGGCGUGCCUAAUACAUGCAAGUCGAGCGGUAAGGCUCCUUCGGGAGUACACGAGCGGCGGACGGCUGAGUAACACGUAGGAACGUACCCCAAACUGAGGGAUAAGCACCAGAAAUGGUGUCUAAUACCGCAUGUGCUCUUCGGAGUAAAGCUACGGCGGUUUGGGAAAGGCCUGCGUAAGAUUAGAUAGUUGGUGAGGUAAUGGCUCACCAAGUCGACGAUCCAUAGCUGGUUUGAGAGGAUGAUCAGCCACACUGGGACUGAGACACGGCCCAGACUCCUACGGGAGGCAGCAGUGGGGAAUCUUAGACAAUGGGGGAAACCCUGAUCUAGCCAUGCCGCGUGAUCGAUGAAGGCCUUAGGGUUGUAAAGAUCUUUCAGUGGGGAAGAUAAUGACUGUACCCACAGAAGAAGCCCCGGCUAACUCCGUGCCAGCCGCCGCAGUAA